rnacentral:lncRNA from 1 species
ACAGAAAAGAACCAAAAAAAAACGAACGAGAAACUGAUCAAAUCAUCAUGGAUCGUUCCCAGAUUUUGCACAGACCAAAUUCAACAGGCCACCAAACUAUUCCCAGAAAAUCAAUGUCUGAGAUCGAUCUAAACUCCAGAAAAAGUAGAUCACAGCUAGGCACGAAAAUAGAGGAAAAUGAAGAACAUAGCCACUGCUCAAAUCUUCACGUCCAGAGGACAACAAGAGGUUAGGGCCUCCAUUCCCAACUCGAAAAAUC